rnacentral:rRNA from 1 species
UACGGAGGGUGCAAGCGUUAUCCGGAUUCACUGGGUUUAAAGGGUGCGUAGGUGGGCAAGUAAGUCAGUGGUGAAAUCUCCGGGCUUAACCCGGAAACUGCCAUUGAUACUAUUUGUCUUGAAUACUGUGGAGGUCAGCGGAAUAUGUCAUGUAGCGGUGAAAUGCUUAGAUAUGACAUAGAACACCAAUUGCGAAGGCAGCUCGCUAAACUGUAACUGACGCUGAGGCACGAAAGCGUGGGGAUCAAACAGG